UAUCACCCUGUAGCCCAAGACUGGUCGCCCACUGAAGCUAAGCAGGGUUGAGCCUGGUCAGUACCUGGAUGGGAGACCUCCUGGAAAACUAUGUU
rnacentral:rRNA from 1 species